UACGGGGGGAGCAAGCGUUGUUCAGAUUUACUGGGCGUAAAGGGCGCGUAGGCGGCCACCGCAGGUCAGUUGUGAAAUCUCUGGGCUUAACCCAGAAAGGUCAACUGAUACUGCGGGGCUAGAGUGCAGAAGGGGCAACUGGAAUUCUCGGUGUAGCGGUGAAAUGCGUAGAUAUCGAGAGGAACACCUGCGGCGAAGGCGGGUUGCUGGGCUGACACUGACGCUGAAGCGCGAAAGCUAGGGGAGCGAACGGG
rnacentral:rRNA from 1 species